rnacentral:rRNA from 1 species
UUGAGUUUGAUCAUGGCUCAGGAUCAACGCUGGCGGCGUGCCUAAUGCCUGCAAGUCGAGCGGGGCGACCUUCGGGUGGCUUACACGGCCGACGGGUGCGGAACACGUGGGCAACCUGCCCUGAGGUGGGGGAUAGCCGGUGGAAACACCGGGUAAUUCCGCAUAAGGUCACAGACCGGAGGGUGUGUGAGGAAAGGGUCUUCGGACUCGCCUUGGGAGGGGCCUGCGGCCGAUUAGCUAGACGGUGGGGUAACGGCCUACCGUGGCGAUGAUCGGUAGCUGGUCUGAGAGGACGGCCAGCCACACGGGGACUGAUAUACGGCCCCGACUCCUACGGGAGGCAGCAGCAAGGAAUCUUCCGCAAUGGGCGAAAGCCUGACGGAGCAACGUUUUUUUUGGGAUGACGCCUUUCGGGGUGUAAACCACUUUUCUCAGGGAAGAAGCAAUGACGGUACCUGAGGAAUAAGGACCGGCUAACUACGUGCCAGCAGCCGCGGUA